UGAUCCCAGUUUCUGGAAAAAUUCAUCUGC
rnacentral:piRNA from 1 species